AGAAUCAACGCUGGCGGCGUGCCUAACACAUGCAAGUCGAACGAGAAAGUGGAGCAAUCCAUGAGUAAAGUGGCGACCGGGUGAGUAACACGUGACUAACCUACCUUCGAGUGGGGGAUAACAUCGGGAAACCGAUGCUAAUACCGCAUAACAUCGCAAGAUCAAAGCAGCAAUGCGCUGGAAGAGGGGGUCGCGGCUGAUUAGCUAGUUGGCGGGUAACGCCCACAAGGCGAAGAUCGGUAGCCGGCCUGAGAGGGCGCACGGCCACACUGGAACUGAAACACGGUCCAGACUCCUACGGGAGGCAGCAGUGGGGAAUUUUGCGCAAUGGGGGAAACCCUGACGCAGCAACGCCGCGUGGAGGAUGAAGCCCCUUGGGGUGUAAACUCCUUUCGACCAAGACGAUAAUGACGGUACUGGUGGAAGAAGCACCGGCUAACUCUGCGCAGCAGCCGC
rnacentral:rRNA from 1 species